rnacentral:rRNA from 1 species
GGGACCCCAGGUCAGGCGGGACCACCCGCUGAGUUU